rnacentral:lncRNA from 1 species
GGCUGACCCUGUGAACAGAUCCAGCCUCUGUUGGACCAGCUCUGAUGUCGGUUCAGGCCUGAGCCGGUUGUCAACUCGCUCUAAAGAGCUUCUGUAUCGCGGUGGCACGGACGGAACACAACAGAGAUUAAAUGAACCCUGUGCAAAGACGGGAGGAGGUGUGGUGUUACCGUUACCGUAACAUAUCUCUACCGUAAGACACGCCCACCUCCUCACCUGGUCAACACUCUCCUACCUCCUACCUCCUCACCUGGUCAACACUCUCCUACCUCCUACCUCCUCACCUGGUCAACACUCUCCUACCUCCUACCUCCUCACCUGGUCAACACUCAACUACCUCCUACCUCCUCACCUGGUCAACACUCUCCUACCUCCUACCUCCUCACCUGGUCAACACUCAACUACCUCCUAACCUGGUCAACACUCUCCUACCUCCUACCUUCUCACCUGGUCAACACUCUCCUACCUCCUCACCUGGUCAACACUCUCCUACCUCCUUACCUGGUCAACACUCUCCUACCUCCUCACCUGGUCAACACUCUCCUACCUCCUCACCUGGUCAACACUCUCCUACCUCCUACCUCCUCAGCUGGACAACAUGAACCGCAGAGCGACUGAGAGUGCAUGAGUCAGAGGAGGAAGUGAGAGAGCUGCGAGGAGCAGGGGAACAAAGUCAAUAGUUCCCUGUUCCAGUAGCCGCGGCUGCCAACUCCUUCUCUGGGGCGGCUCGGCGCAUUCUCCCUCCCUCCCUCCCUCUCCUUCGGCAUUCACCUUCAACUCAAGAUCAAAAACCCCUCCCGGAACCUAGACAAGGAACCAAGAGGAGGAAACAAGAGGAGGAACUAUUGUUCUGUCCUCAAAAGUACCUGCUCACAUGAAGGAGUUACAAAACAGACUUAUCUGCCUUCAUCUAUGAGAUCUUACGAUACAAUACCAGAAUAGCACAAGUACUUGUCCAGCUGUCAACCGAGUCCCUCCCUCUCUCCCUAUAGUCCAAACGGAUUACAGAUUACCAUGUCUGAACAUUGUAUUCCUUUGAGCCAAAAAACAUGAAUAUUAAAUACAUAAUUGUAAUUCACAGCUAGAAAAACGAUAGGUAUCCACAGAUACACUGUGAAUACUUAAUUAUACAUAAAUAUGUAUUAUAAAUACAAUAAUAUGUGAAUCGGAAAUAUAUAUAACACUUUAAUCUUACUUUAUUGUUAUAUCUUAUUACAAAGAGGGAGAUAUAGUGAAGCCAGGGUGUUUGCUAACCCCUUGGCGCUGUGCUGCCCCUCGCUGCGAGACCCUCCCGUCCAGCGCAGCGCUACACAGAUACGAGUUCAACCGUUACACAAUGUAUGAAUAUUAGCCAACGUUUAAUUAUUACGCAAAAUCUAAAUAUUGCCUGAAACCUCGAAACAGUCUCAUGUGGAAACUCCUCGAAACACACGAGUCUCUGUAGGAUCCGUGGGACAGGGGAUCUAGGACAGAGGAGGUAAGGACUAGGAGGGAGGAGACAAGGAGAGAGGAGGUAGGACUAGGAGAGAGGUAAGGAAUAGGAAAGAAGAGAUAAGGGAGAGGAGGUAAGGAGAGAGGAGAUAAGGAGAGAGGAGUUAAGGAGAGAGGAGGUAAGGACUAGGAGAGAGGAGGUAAGGACUAGGAGCGAGGAGAUAAGGGCCCACAACCCACCAGAGCCACCUGGGAGUGGAGGACAGCUAGGAGGUGGGAGUUAGGAGCUAGGAUGUAGGAGGCAGAGAUGGUAGGAAGGUAGCAACAAUGAAGUAGGAACAAGGAGGUAGGAUCUAAUAGUUGGGAGGUAUGCUAUGAGUUAGGAGGUAGGAUAUAUAGGACAUAGGAGUUAGGAAAUAGGAGCUAGGCCUAAGGAGCUAAGGGUAAUGACUUACGAGCGAAGAGUUAGCAAGCAGGGGCUAAGGGUAAGGAGUUAGGAUCUGUGAGCUACGUAGGUAAGAACCGGGAUUUGUGUUCUAGGAGGCGUGGGAGAGAUGACAAGCAGACGAGUCAGCGAGUUCUCAGAUCUCAAUUGCUUCCUCAUACCAGCUCUCAGACACCUGCCGAACACUGGCCCCGCGGGCAUCAGGCCCGCGGCCAAACUCUUCCCUUCCCCGAAAUCCUCUGAAUUUCAAUAAAUGCUUCGGGCGCGACGCGUCCCAGCAAGCCCCUCUUCACUAGAGAGGAGGCUGCAGGACGCCAGUACACGGUAUCAGCGGCAGCAUGUAGGCCUACUUCACUUACUACUUUUCGUUACUUGGAGCGAUCAACUGUCUCCCUUAAAAGUUUUUGAUUUAUUUGUUGUAAAAAAUAUUUUUAUUAAAUAUGUCUACAUACUUCAUCUCCUUCAGUGGUAUUCAUUUUAAUAGUAUAUAUUUAUUGAACGAUCGAUUCUGAUUGGUCAAUUAAGUCACUCCAGACUCUAUUCCUGUAGAGCCGACUGUUCCUAUAUGGAUGCAGUUCUUUGAAUAAAUAGACUACAUAGUCACGAUUAAAUGACUUACUCAGUCAUGUCACAGUAGCAACCAACCAAUUCAAUCAGAAGUUCAAUGGAAAAUGAUCCGUGCGUCUGAUGAGGAACCGUCUGAACAACACGAGGCGGGCCGCGGGCGUCAUCAGCUGAUAGUCCCGCUCCGGGUUGACUGACAGGUGCCUUUGUGUGGGGAGAAAUCAGCGGAACAGGUUCCGGCUGACGGGAGGAGGAAGUACAGUGAACGCAGGUGAGGGCAGUGAUCAAUUGACGUCAUUACGAGACAGAGAUUCUCAUAUCGUAAAAGCAGAUCGGAUCAGUUCAGAUUAGAUUGUACGCCAGGGUUACAACAAAGUAAGCAACUCCUGGACGGAAGUAGGAAUCCUUUUGGGACUUCAUAUUUAUGGACUUGAUAUUAUGCAUUGACACAAGGCAUGGAGUUAAAUUCUCUUCACUUCAGGUCCAUAACUUACCCUCUCAGUAGGCCUGUAUACCAGUAGGCCUACUAUCAUUAAACCAGUAACAUAAACCAGCAAUAACUAUAGACCAGUACUAUUUAUAGGCCAGUAACAUAGACCAGUUCUAUCUGAAGACCAGUAACAGAGACCAGUAUAUCUAUUUACCAGUUCUAGAUUCCAGCAUAAUAAAUAUAAUU